UACAGGGGGGGCAAGCGUUGUUCGGAAUUACUGGGCGUAAAGGGUCUGUAGGUGGCUUGCUAAGUCAGACGUGAAAUCCCUCAGCUUAACUGGGGAACUGCGUCUGAUACUGGCGAGCUUGAGUGCAGGAGAGGAACGCGGAAUUCCAGGUGUAGCGGUGAAAUGCGUAGAUAUCUGGAGGAACACCGGUGGCGAAGGCGGCGUUCUGGACUGCAACUGACGCUGAGGCGCGAAAGCCAGGGGAGCAAACGGG
rnacentral:rRNA from 1 species